rnacentral:rRNA from 1 species
GGUGAACGCUGGCGGCGUGCCUAAUACAUGCAAGUCGAGCGAACAGACGAGGAGCUUGCUCCUCUGACGUUAGCGGCGGACGGGUGAGUAACACGUGGAUAACCUACCUAUAAGACUGGGAUAACUUCGGGAAACCGGAGCUAAUACCGGAUAAUAUAUUGAACCGCAUGGUUCAAUAGUGAAAGACGGUUUUGCUGUCUCUUAUAGAUGGAUCCGCGCCGCAUUAGCUAGUUGGUAAGGUAACGGCUUACCAAGGCAACGAUGCUUAGCCGACCUGAGAGGGUGAUCGGCCUAACUGGAACUGGGACACGGUCCAGACUCCUACGGGAGGCAGCAGUAGGGAAUCUUCCGCAAUGGGCGAAAGCCUGACGGAGCAACGCCGCGUGAGUGAUGAAGGUCUUCGGAUCGUAAAACUCUGUUAUUAGGAAAGAACAAAUGUGUAAGUAACUAUGCACGUCUUGACGGUACCAAAGCAGAAAGCCACGGCUAACUACGU